rnacentral:rRNA from 1 species
AGCGAACGCUGGCGGCAGGCCUAACGCAUGCAAGUCGAGCGGAUGAGGGAAGCUUGCUUCCCGAUUUAGCGGCGGACGGGUGAGUAAUGCCUAGGAAUCUGCCUAUUAGUGGGGGAUAACGUUCCGAAAGGAACGCUAAUACCGCAUACGUCCUACGGGAGAAAGUGGGGGAUCUUCGGACCUCACGCUAAUAGAUGAGCCUAGGUCGGAUUAGCUAGUUGGUGAGGUAACGGCUCACCAAGGCGACGAUCCGUAGCUGGUCUGAGAGGAUGAUCAGCCACACUGGAACUGAGACACGGUCCAGACUCCUACGGGAGGCAGCAGUGGGGAAUAUUGGACAAUGGGCGAAAGCCUGAUCCAGCCAUGCCGCGUGUGUGAAGAAGGUCUUCGGAUUGUAAAGCACUUUAAGUUGGGAGGAAGAGUUGUAAGCUAAUAUCUUGCAGCUUUGACGUUACCAACAGAAUAAGCACCGGCUAACUCUGUGCCAGCCGCCGCCGUAACAC